CGGGACGGGUGAGUAAUGUCUGGGAAACUGCCCGAUGGAGGGGGAUAACUACUGGAAACGGUAGCUAAUACCGCAUAACGUCGCAAGACCAAAGCGGGGGACCUCCGGGCCUCGCGCCAUCAGAUGAACCCAUAUGGGAUUAGCUAGUAGGUAAGGUGACGGCUUACCUAGGCGACGAUCCCUAGCUGGUCUGAGAGGAUGAUCAGCCACACUGGAACUGAGACACGGUCCAG
rnacentral:rRNA from 1 species